rnacentral:tRNA from 1 species
GGGGGUGUAGCUCAUAUGGUAGAGCGCUUGCUUCGCAUGCAAGAGGCAUGGGGUUCAAUUCCCCGCACCUCCA